AGAGUGAACGCUGGCGGUAGGCCUAACACAUGCAAGUCGAACGGCAGCACAGGAGAGCUUGCUCUCUGGGUGGCGAGUGGCGGACGGGUGAGGAAUACAUCGGAAUCUACCUUUUCGUGGGGGAUAACGUAGGGAAACUUACGCUAAUACCGCAUAAGACCUUCGGGUGAAAGCCGGGGACCUUCGGGCCUGGCGCGGAUAGAUGAGCCGAUGUCGGAUUAGCCUGUUGGCGGGUAAAAGCCCGACCAAGGCCGACGAUCCCGUAGCUGGUCUGAGAGGAUGAUCAGCCACACUGGAACUGAGACACGGUCCAGACUCCUACGGGAGCAGCAGUGGGAAUAGUUGGACAAGUGGGCGCAAGCCUGACUCCAGCCCAGUACCGGCGGUGGGGUACGAAAGGAACGG
rnacentral:rRNA from 1 species